rnacentral:rRNA from 1 species
CACGUAGGGCGCAAGCGUUGUCCGGAAUUAUUGGGCGUAAAGAGCUCGUAGGCGGUCUGUUGCGUCCGCUGUGAAAACUCGGGGCUUAACCCCGAGCCUGCAGUGGAUACGGGCAGACUAGAGGUAGGUAGGGGAGAAUGGAAUUCCCGGUGUAGCGGUGAAAUGCGCAGAUAUCGGGAGGAACACCGGUGGCGAAGGCGGCCAACUGGACGAAUACUGACGCUGAGACACGAAAGCGUGGGGAGCAAACAGG